rnacentral:rRNA from 1 species
CCUACGGGAGGCAGCAGUGAGGAAUAUUGGUCAAUGGCCGGAAGGCUGAACCAGCCAUGCCGCGUGAAGGUCAGUGCCCUAUGGGUUGUAAACUUCUUUUAUAAAGGAAUAAAACGAGGCACGUGUGCCUUUUUGCAUGUACUUUAUGAAUAAGGAUCGGCUAACUCCGUGCCAGCAGCCGCGGUAAUACGGAGGAUCCGAGCGUUAUCCGGAUUUAUUGGGUUUAAAGGGAGCGUAGAUGGGUUGUUAAGUCAGUUGUGAAAGUUUGCGGCUCAACCGUAAAAUUGCAAUUGAUACUGUCAGUCUUGAGUACAGUUGAGGUAGGCGGAAUUCGUGGUGUAGCGGUGAAAUGCUUAGAUAUCACGAAGAACCCCGAUUGCGAAGGCAGCUUACUAAACUGUGACUGACAUUGAUGCUCGAAAGUGUGGGUAUCAAACAGGAUUAGAUACCCGAGUAGUC